UGGGGAAUAUUGGACAAUGGGCGCAAGCCUGAUCCAGCCAUACCGCGUGGGUGAAGAAGGCCUUCGGGUUGUAAAGCCCUUUUGUUGGGAAAGAAAUCCAGCUGGCUAAUACCCGGUUGGGAUGACGGUACCCAAAGAAUAAGCACCGGCUAACUUCGUGCCAGCAGCCGCGGUAAGACGAAGGGGGCUAGCGUUGUUCGGAAUUACUGGGCGUAAAGCGCGUGUAGGCGGUUGUUCAAGUCAGGUGUGAAAGCCUUGAGCUCAACUCAAGAAAUGCACUUGAUACUGGAUGACUAGAGGACCGGAGAGGAUAGUGGAAUUCCCAGUGUAGUGGUGAAAUACGUAGAGAUUGGGAAGAACACCAGUGGCGAAGGCGGCUAUCUGGACGGUUUCUGACGCUAAGACGCGAAAGCGUGGGGAGCAAAC
rnacentral:rRNA from 1 species